UGAACGCUGGCGGCGUGCCUAACACAUGCAAGUCGAACGGAGUUAUUCGCUGAGGAAGCUUCGGCAGAAUCUGAAUAACUAGUGGCGGACGGGUGAGUAACGCGUGGGUAACCUGCCUCAUACAGGGGGAUAGCAGUUGGAAACGACUGAUAACACCGCAUAAGCGCACAGUGUCGCAUGACACAGUGUAGAAAAUAUUUAUAGGUAUGAGAUGGACCCGCGUCUGAUUAGCUAGUUGGUGAGGUAACGGCCCACCAAGGCGACGAUCAGUAGCCGGCCUGAGAGGGCGGACGGCCACAUUGGGACUGAGACACGGCCCAAACUCCUACGGGAGGCAGCAGUGGGGGAUAUUGCACAAUGGGCGAAAGCCUGAUGCAGCGACGCCCGCGUGAGUGAAGAAGUAUUUCGGUAUGUAAAGCUCUAUCAGCAGGGAAGAAAGACCUCGUAAGAGGGGAUGACGGUACCUGAGUAAGAAGCCCCGGCUAACUACGUGCCAGCCGCCGC
rnacentral:rRNA from 1 species